rnacentral:rRNA from 1 species
GACGAACGCUGGCGGCGUGCUUAACACAUGCAAGUCGAACGGAAAGGCCCUGCUUUUGUGGGGUGCUCGAGUGGCGAACGGGUGAGUAACACGUGAGUAACCUGCCCUUGACCUUGGGAUAACUUCAGGAAACUGGGGCUAAUACCGGAUAGGAGCUCCUGCUGCAUGGUGGGGGUUGGAAAGUUUCGGCGGUUGGGGAUGGACUCGCGGCUUAUCAGCUUGUUGGUGGGGUAGUGGCUUACCAAGGCUUUGACGGGUAGCCGGCCUGAGAGGGUGACCGGCCACAUUGGGACUGAGAUACGGCCCAGACUCCUACGGGAGGCAGCAGUGGGGAAUAUUGCACAGUGGGCGGAAGCCUGAUGCAGCAACGCCGCGUGCGGGAUGACGGCCUUCGGGUUGUAAACCGCUUUCGCCUGUGACGAAGCGUGAGUGACGGUAAUGGGUAAAGAAGCACCGGCUAACUACGUG